CGAACGCUGGCGGCGUGGAUAAGACAUGCAAGUCGAACGAAGAAUCUCAAUAGCUUGCUAAUGAGAUUUUUAGUGGCGGACGGGUUAGUGACACGUGAGAUACCUACCCUUUAGACAGGAAUAGCCCAUGGAAACGUGGAAUAAUACCUGAUAGUCUCUACGGAGUAAAUGAUGCCUUCGGGUGUCGCUAAAGGAUGGGCUCGCGGCCUAUCAGUUUGUUGGUGAGGUAAAGGCUCACCAAGACUACGACGGGUAGCUGGUCUGAGAGGACGAUCAGCAACACUGGAACUGAGACACGGUCCAGACACCUACGGGUGGCAGCAGUCGAGAAUCAUUCACAAUGGAGGAAACUCUGAUGGUGCAACGCCGCGUGGAGGAUGACGGCCCUAGGGU
rnacentral:rRNA from 1 species